GAUGAACGCUGGCGGCGUGCCUAAUACAUGCAAGUCGAGCGAACAGACGAGGAGCUUGCUCCUCUGACGUUAGCGGCGGACGGGUGAGUAACACGUGGAUAACCUACCUAUAAGACUGGGAUAACUUCGGGAAACCGGAGCUAAUACCGGAUAAUAUAUUGAACCGCAUGGUUCAAUAGUGAAAGACGGUUUUGCUGUCACUUAUAGAUGGAUCCGCGCCGCAUUAGCUAGUUGGUAAGGUAACGGCUUACCAAGGCAACGAUGCGUAGCCGACCUGAGAGGGUGAUCGGCCACACUGGAACUGAGACACGGUCCAGACUCCUACGGGAGGCAGCAGUAGGGAAUCUUCCGCAAUGGGCGAAAGCCUGACGGAGCAACGCCGCGUGAGUGAUGAAGGUCUUCGGAUCGUAAAACUCUAUUAUUAGGGAAGAACAAAUGUGUAAGUAACUAUGCACGUCUUGACGGUACCUAAUCAGAAAGUCACGGCUAACUACGUG
rnacentral:rRNA from 1 species